rnacentral:rRNA from 1 species
AUGAACGCUGGCGGCGUGCCUAAUACAUGCAAGUCGAGCGAACAGACGAGGAGCUUGCUCCUCUGACGUUAGCGGCGGACGGGUGAGUAACACGUGGAUAACCUACCUAUAAGACUGGGAUAACUUCGGGAAACCGGAGCUAAUACCGGAUAAUAUAUUGAACCGCAUGGUUCAAUAGUGAAAGACGGUUUUGCUGUCACUUAUAGCUGGAUCCGCGCCGCAUUAGCUAGUUGGUAAGGUAACGGCUUACCAAGGCAACGAUGCGUAGCCGACCUGAGAGGCGGAUCGGCCACAUUGGAACUGAGACACGGUCCAGACUCCUACGGGAGGCAGCAGUAGGGAAUCUUCCGCAAUGGGCGAAAGCAUGACGGAGCAACGCCGCGUGAGUGAUGAAGGUCUUCGGAUCGUAAAACUCUGUUAUUAGUGAAGAACAAAUGUGUAAGUAACUAUGCACGUCUUGACGGUACCUAAUCAGAAAGCCACGGCUAACUACGUG